UUACGGCCAUAUCACGCUGAAACACCGAUUCUCGUAUGAUCACCGAAGUUAAACAACGUUGUGCAUGGUCAGUACCUAGAUGGGGGUCCGCUUGGGAAUAUCGAGUGG
rnacentral:rRNA from 1 species